AUUGAACGCUGGCGGCAGGCCUAACACAUGCAAGUCGAGCGAGCGGCGGACGGGUGAGUAAUGUAUGGGGAUCUGCCCGAUAGAGGGGGAUAACUACUGGAAACGGUGGCUAAUACCGCAUACUAUCGGAUGAACCCAUAUGGGAUUAGCUAGUAGGUGGGGGAAUGGCGCACCAAGGCGACGAUCUCUAGCUGGUCUGAGAGGAUGAUCAGCCGCACUGGGACUGAGACACGGUCCAGACGCCUACGGGAGGCAGCAGUGGGGAAUAGUGCAAAAUGGGCGAAAGCCUGAAGCAGCCAUGCCGCGUGUGUGAAGAAGGCCUUCGGGUUGUAAAGCACUUUCAGCGAGGAGGCGUUACUCGCAGAAGAAGCACCGGCUAACUCCGUGCCAGCAGCCGCGGUAAUAC
rnacentral:rRNA from 1 species